NNNCCCGUGAUCAUCGAGUUUUUGAACGCAAGUUGCGCCCGAAGCCUUCCGGCCGAGGGCACGCCUGCCUGGGCGUCACGCAUCGCGUCGCCCCCUCCCGCCGCCCUCGCUGGCGGGGGGGCGGAGAAUGGCCCCCCGUGCGCCCCCGUCGCGCGGCCGGCCC
rnacentral:rRNA from 1 species